GAUGAACGCUGGCGGCGUGCCUAACACAUGCAAGUCGAGCGGCAGGGCCGGGCUCUUGCAGGCUGCCGGCGUGCCGCGGACGGCUGAGUAACGUGUGGCAACGGCCCCCAAAGUUAGGAUAAACUCCGCGAAAGGGGAGCUAAUACCGCAUAGAAUCCUCGGAUCAAAGUGUUUAUCGGCGAUGGGAGCCGCUCGCGUCGGAUUAGGUGGUUGGUGAGGUAAUUGCUCGGCAAGCCGACGACCCGUGCCUGGUCGGAGAGGAUGCCCAACCAGGUUGGAGAUGCGACCCGGACCCCACUCCUACGGAGGACAGCGGUAUGGAAUCUUCCACGAUGGGCGAAAGCCUAAUAGAGCAACGCCGCGUACAGGGCGCAGCCGUUCGGGUUGUAAACUGGUCUUAUACGUGGGGAGUAUGACGGUAACUGAUGAAUAAGCACCGGCUAACUACGUG
rnacentral:rRNA from 1 species